UGAGCAAUCUGCCCUUCUCUUCGGAAUAAGCGUGGGAAACCGCGUCUAAUGCCGAAUACGACCUCCUUUCGCAUGAUCGGAGGUGGAAAGCUCCGGCGGAGAAGGAUGAGCUCGCGGCCUAUCAGCUAGUUGGUGUGGGUAAUGGCCCACCAAGGCGACGACGGGUAGCCGGCCUGAGAGGGUGACCGGCCACACUGGGACUGAGACACGGCCCAGACCUCCCGUACGGGGAGGCAGCG
rnacentral:rRNA from 1 species